UGGGGAAUAUUGCACAAUGGGGGAAACCCUGAUGCAGCGACGCCGCGUGAGUGAAGAAGUAUUUCGGUAUGUAAAGCUCUAUCAGCAGGAAAGAAAAUGACGGUACCUGACUAAGAAGCCCCGGCUAACUACGUGCCAGCAGCCGCGGUAAUACGUAGGGGGCAAGCGUUAUCCGGAUUUACUGGGUGUAAAGGGAGCGUAGACGGUUAUGCAAGUCUGAAGUGAAAUGCGGGGGCUUAACCCCUGAACUGCUUUGGAAACUGUAAAACUGGAGUGCAGGAGAGGUAAGUGGAAUUCCUAGUGUAGCGGUGAAAUGCGUAGAUAUUAGGAGGAACACCAGUGGCGAAGGCGGUCUACUGGACGAUAACUGACGCUGAGGCGCGAAAGCGUGGGGAGCAAACAGGAUUAGAUACCCUGGUAGU
rnacentral:rRNA from 1 species